rnacentral:rRNA from 1 species
GGCGGCAUGCCUAACACAUGCAAGUCGAACGGCAGCGCGGACGUAGCAAUACGUCUGGCGGCGAGUGGCGGACGGGUGAGGAAUACAUCGGGAUCUACCCCGUUGUGGGGGAUAACCCACCGAAAGGUGGGCUAAUACCGCGUACGACGGAGACGUGAAAGCGGAGGACCCGCAAGGGCUUCGCGCGAUGGGAUGAGCCGAUGUCGGAUUAGCUAGUUGGCGGGGUAAGAGCCCACCAAGGCGACGAUCCGUAGCUGGUCUGAGAGGACGAUCAGCCACACUGGGACUGAGACACGGCCCAGACUCCUACGGGAGGCAGCAGUGGGGAAUAUCGGACAAUGGGGGCAACCCUGAUCCAGCAAUGCCGCGUGUGUGAAGAAGGCCUUCGGGUUGUAAAGCACUUUUAUCGGGAACGAAAAGCGAUGGGUUAAUACCCUGUCGUGCUGACGGUACCCGAGGAAUAAGCACCGGCUAACUUCGUGCCAGCAGCCGCGGUAAUACGAAGGGUGCAAGCGUUAAUCGGAAUUACUGGGCGUAAAGCGUGCGUA